rnacentral:tRNA from 1 species
AGGGGAGUAGCUCAAUCGGAUAGAGCAACGGUUUUCUAAACCGUAGGUUGUGGGUUCGAGUCCCGCCUUCCCUGCCA